CUCCCCCACCCGAAGAAAGUGCAGCGGUUCCCUCUGCGCCCCCGCGCGCCCCGCCCGGCGCCGCCCCACGCCUCAGGCCCCUUUUCCAGUCGGGGCGGGGAGGAAAAGGGGUCGAGGACCCGGGACCGUGGGGCGCGUCGCGGCUCCUGUGGGUCGCGCCCUUGGCCCCGUCGCCCAGCCCAGAGAAGCCCGCUCCGCGUGGAGGCGGGUCCUCCAGGGCCUCCCCCACAGCCGGUCCUGAGCCCGGACGUCUCGCCCGCAACCCAGAGGCGCCGGGGUCCACUGCUGCCAGCCUGCAGCCCAGGGGAGGGCUGGCUCGGCCGUGUAGCCUCAAAGCCCGGGCUCCCCGCCCGCAGGGCCAGCGCGCCGGGCAAGACCCUCCAGCGCGCCCUGAGUUUGCGCGCCUCGCACGUCCAGUGUACCAUUGGGCACCAGGUCCGGCUUUGCAUGAAGCGCUCUGCUGUGCCAAGGAACGUGAAGCAGGGGCUGCACGGUGGGCAUCAGAUGUCCAAGUGCGAACCCCUCGGAAGCGGAGCCCUGCAUCAGUCACCACCGAGAAAGGCAAAUGCUAGCUUGAAAUGAAAACAUCAGAGAGAAAAAUCCUUUCGGAAUGAGGGGCCCUGGCUGGCUUUGCCACCACGGAAGGUUCCAGAGACACGGCAGAGCCAAAGGCAAAUUAAAACACACCCUGUCAAAAGAUUUCCGCUGUCUCCCAAGUAUUUAUUUUUUGGAACUUGGCGAAGGAGGGUUUAAUUAAGACACCCUCAGGCGGGAGCCUUGUGCAGAGUGGAAGAGGCUGACGGUUCUUGGGAGUCCAUCAGGACGGCUCGGAGCAUGCGGCUCAGGUCAGGGGCAGAAGGCAUGGUCAGCUCCGGGGGCUGCGCAGACCCAGCUUCCCUGGCUGCAAGCCCUCAAGGAGCUCCACCAGCUAAGUGUUCUAAUAAAGCGUG
rnacentral:lncRNA from 1 species